GUAAGGGUAGUUUAAAAAAAACACUAGACUGUGGCUCUAAACAUAGAAGCUAAAGACUUCUCCCAGACC
rnacentral:tRNA from 1 species